rnacentral:rRNA from 1 species
UUGGAGGGCAAGUCUGGUGCCAGCAGCCGCGGUAAUUCCAGCUCCCAUAGCGUAUAUUAAAGUUGUUGCAGUUAAAAAGCUCGUAGUUGAAUUUCGGGAUCGACGGGUCGGUCGCGCCUCUGGUGUGUACUGGCCCUGUCGGUUUCUCCCUUCUGACGAACCACGAUGUCAUUAAUUUGGUGUCGUGGGAAAUCAGGACUGUUACUUUGAAAAAAUUAGAGUGUUUAAAGCAGGCAUUCGCUUGAAUACAUUAGCAUGGAAUAAUGAAAUAGGACGUUUGAUCUUAUUUUGUUGGUUUCUAAGAUCGACGUAAUGAUUAAUAGGGAUAGUUGGGGGCAUUAGUAUUCAAUCGUCAGAGGUGAAAUUCUUGGAUUUAUUGAAGACUAACUACUGCGAAAGCAUUUGCCAAGGAUGUUUUCAUUAAUCAAGAACGAAAGUUAGGGGAUCGAAGACGAUCAGAUACCGUCGUAGUCUUAACCAUAAACUAUGCCGACUAGGGAUCGGAUGAUGUUAAUUUUUUAAUGACUCAUUCGGCGCCUUACGGGAAACCAAAGUGUUUGGGU